CUGGCCAGAAGCUGGCAAAGGCAGAGUGCCAGGGAAGGAGGGGGUACUAAGGGAGGGGCAGGGAUGAGGCGGCUGGCAGGGACGGAGGGGACCAGCUUAGAUGAUGAUCCACAUGGGCAAGGGGGAGAUGCCGAGUCUGGGAGGGUUGGAGGGGACCAGGAAGGACAGAUGGGGGAUAAGCAAGGAGACGGGAGGCCCGAGGGCAGACUCUGAGAGGCACAGGGAAGAUGCCGGCCAAGGAGGGGCUGGGAAAGGAGGGUGCCUGGCAGGUGCUGCAAAGGGUGGAGAGUCGGGGAGGUGGAAGAGGAGACGGGGUGCCCGGCAGGCGACCAGAGGAGCUGGAGUGUCCAUCAAGGCCUGGGGAAGCUAAUAAGUCUGGUGACUACAAGAAAUAAGAGAUCCUUCAUGGGCUAUCAUGGAAGCUCUGUGACUCUCUGACCAUGAUUUGAGCUGAGAGUUUAAAGGCCCCAGCUUGUCGUUUUCUUUCUGCGAGGACCCUGAUGCUCUCAGAAUUCCUUCUGCGGUCAUCCUACAGUCCCUGUAGUCAUCCUCACUGCCAUACAGAGCUUACACUGAGGUUACCCUAUUCUUGCUCUAUUAUUGUAUACUUUCUUGUCGGGUAUGGAUAAAAACUCCCAACAAAGGAGCAGAUGGAUUCACAAGAGAAUUCCACCAAACUUUUUCUUAUGGGUGUGUAUACUUUUUUUUUUUUUUUUUUUUGGAGUAUAGCUGAUUUGGGGCUUCCCAGAUAGUUUAGUGGUAAAGAAUCUGCCUGCCAAGCAGAUGUG